rnacentral:lncRNA from 1 species
UUAAUCUUCAAAGGUUCUUCUCAGCUGAAACCAUUCUCAAUUUAUUCCCUUUUUAUUCACAGGGAAGGACUAGCAAAAAUUUUGUUCAUACACAUCUGAAGGCAUGCCUCAGUUAUACUCCAAAUGCUAAGACAGAAGUCUUGAUCAUCUCUUCUAAAGAGGAUAGCUGUCCCAAGACAAAUGAGUGCAUGGACAAAGUAAUUCAUUGUGAAUGGUGUACUGCUACAGUACGGAAGUGAAGGAUGACAGCAGACCAACUGAUCUGCUUAAAGAAUUACUUUGGGUGAAGUAAUGCAAAGCAAAACUGCACAUAGGAAGUUGCCACAGUGAGCAGUCAAAACUUGGUCAUCCGUAUCUUAGCAGAAAGCUUGUAUGUUCAUCUGUGUCUUGAACUCUUAG